ensembl:lncRNA
CGACGACGGAGACUGUGAGUGUUUCGACGAGCAGACGGCACAAACGCGCCCGUUACAGGGAGAAUCCAGAGCGUGGAGCGGCUGUGAUGAUGUUACCGAGGAGAAAGAGACGAGAGGAAAUCAGCACGCACCGGAACAGCGCCACAAGAAAACACUGUGUCCACCGGCGUUUUGCGUCAGAGAGUCAACAUCAGCACGGACUGAGAGCGCACCCAAAGGACAGGCUUCAUUGGCCCCAGAGACAAACGCAUCUAUCUGUUACUGUGUGGCCUCCUUGGCUCCAAUGCCAUGAUCCUGCUCUUCUACGCUGUGCAGCAGAUGCCUUUAGCAGACGCCACUGUCAUCAUGUUCAGAUCUGUGUGAGACAAAGGCCAGCUCUGCUCCAGACGUCAGGACCUCCUGCACACGUCCUCACAUCAGGAGCUAAGUCCUCACACACUCUUGCACACACAGACAUACACAUUUACACAAAUACACACACACAUACUCCUGCACUCCGUCCAGACCUCCUGCACACGUCCUCACAUCAGGAGCUAAGUCCUCACACACUCUUGCACACACAGACAUACACAUUUACACAAAUACACACAUACUCCUGCACUCCGUCCAGACCUCCUGCACACGUCCUCACAUCAGGAGCUAAGUCCUCACACAUUCUUGCACACACAGACAUACACAUUUACACAAAUACACACACACAUACUAUGUCCCUCCCUGCUUCUCCGGCUGUGCUCCUCCCUGCUGCUCGUGCUAUGCCCCUCCCUACUCUUGCUACGCUGCGCUGCAUGCGUCUUGCGAAGGCUCACGUUACUUCAACUGCCGCUGAUCCCGCCAUGCCCCUCCCUGCUCCUCCAGGUAAGCCCCUCCGUAUUCGUCUUGCUAAGGCCCGCCCUGUUCCUUAUGCUAAACCCUGCAUUGCUCCUCCUGCUAUGCCAUCCCCGCCAUGCCCACCCCUGCUGCCCCUGCCUCUCCGGCUAUGCCCCUGCCUGCUGCUCCUGCCAUACCCCUCCCUGCUCCUCCAGCGAUGCCCCUCCCCGCCACCCCGGCCAUGCCCCUCUCCUCUGCUCCUGCCAUGCCCCUCACCGCUGCUCCCACCAUACCCACCUCCGCUGCUCCCGCCAUGCCCCUCCCCGCCAUGCCCACCUCCGCCGCUGCCGCUAUGCCCCUGCCUGCUGCUCCCGCCAUACCCCUCCCUGCUCCUCCCACUAUACCCCUCCCAGCCACCCCCGCCAUGCCCCUCUCCCCUGCUCCCGCCAUGCCCCUCCCGGCUGCCUCUGCCGCCCCCUCCAUGCCCCUCCCUUCUCCUACCGCUAAUCCCUUCCGUAUUCGUCUUGCUAAGGCCCGCCCUGUUCCUUAUGCUAAACCCUGCAUUGCUCCUCCUGCUAUGCCGCCCACCGCCACCCCUGCCAUGCCCACCCUCACUGCCCCAUCAUGCCCCUCCCCACCGCUUCGACUAUGCCCCUCCCCACUGCCCCUGCCACACCCCUCCCUGCCAUACCCGCCAUGCCCCUCCCCAUGACCCCUGCCGUGCCCCUCCUCGCCGUGCCCACGCCCACCUCGGCCGUGCCCCUCCCCACUACCGACGCCAUGGCCCUCCUCACGUCCCCUGCCAAGCCCACCUUCGCUGCUCCCGCCAUGCCCUUCCCCGCUGCCCCCGCCACUCCCUCCAUGCCCCUCCCUUCUCCUCCAGCUAAUCCCCUCCGUAUUCCUCUUGCUAAGACCCGCGCUGUUCCUUAUGCUAAACCCCGUGUUGCUCCUUCUGCUAAGGUCCUCCCCGCUCCUCCCGUUAUGCCCCUCCCUGGUGUUCAUGCUAUGUCCCCCCCCACCAUCCCCGCCAUGCCCACCCC